rnacentral:hammerhead_ribozyme from 1 species
ACACUGCUGAGGAGUCCCAUAAUAGGACGAAACAGCCGUCCAGUAC